AGAGUUUGAUCUUGGCUCAGGACGAACGCUGGCGGCGCGCCUAACACAUGCAAGUCGAACGAGAGAGAAGGAGCUUGCUUCUUCGAUCGAGUGGCGAACGGGUGAGUAACGCGUGAGGAACCUGCCUCAAAGAGGGGACAACAGUUGGAAACGACUGCUAAUACCGCAUAAGCCCCACGGGUCGGCAUCGACCUGAGGGAAAAGGAGUCAAUCCGACUUUGAGAUGGCCUCGCGUCCGAUUAGCUAGUUGGUG
rnacentral:rRNA from 1 species